AUCGCCAUCUUGGUUUUGGUGGGUUUUGGACAGCUUCUUUACGCAUGCUGUUUUAUCAGCAAGGUCUUUGUGACCUGUAUCUUGUGCCGACCUCCUAUCUCAUCCUGUGACUAGGAAUGCCUUAACCUCCUGGAAUGCAGCUCACCAGCCCUCCAUGAAUGAGGAACUUCCUGGGGCCACUAGUGCAUGCUGCAGCUCACACAGUCAACUCCAUCCACACCUCCACAAACAGCUGCCCUUUGGCCACUACUCAGGCGUAAGGACACACCCAGCAGGGUAUGCCCUCUGGAGGUCAGACCAGGGAAGAAGCCCUUGCACAGUCAGGAGCCAGCUCAGCACCUGUGAUGCUGAAUUCUAUGUGGCAACUUGACUGGACGCAGGUGCUCGGAUUAAACCUGAUUUCUGGAUCACAGUCUGGAAGUCUGCUCACAGUCUCAAGGUUGGCAUAUCCCCUAGAGCCCCCAGACUCCUCAUCCCAUGGAGACCAACAUGGCCAGGGGAGGGCCAGAGCAGGGCCUUCUAAAUCACAGACCCCAGGGCAGGAGCCCCUCCGGUCUGGAUCUAAGGAUGGUAUUUUCAACAAUUCCUAAAUUUUUAUCCUAGGCUCUCCAAAUGGGAGUCUAAAGGUCUCAAAACAUGGUCCAGAAGAAGUAUGCAAAAAUGUAAAUUCCUAGGCCCCAACCCAGACCUAUGAAUCAGAUGAUCUGUAUGGGGGUUCAAGGAAUCUAUAUUAUUAAACAAUCUUCCUAAAUGACUUGUAUUCAUACUAAAGCUUGAGAAUUGCUAUCAAACAGCUAGAAGUUGGAGUGAAGGGUCCUGCCUUUCCCAUGAAAUUCAUCAACUCUAUGCCCUCAAAAGCUGGGCUCUUGGAUGAGCUGCUCUCCAUUCUAGAGACAUUACCAGCUAGGUAGCCUGCUGGUCCUCAGGAAGUUAAGCCCAGACUCUUCAGCACAGAAUCAGAUAAACACUGAUUACAUUGUACUCUACAGUUCUGAGAACACCAUUACUUAAUUCCCGGCAAGUUGCAAUGUAAUUGAGUAGGUUGUAGUUUUUUGGGUUUGGGGUUUUUUUGUUUUUUAAAUAUAUCAGGCGUAGUUAGCCAGCUUCCUAGAAACACCAUGAUCUCUUGGUGAAAAUUCCAGAAAUAUGCAUCACUUCCUAAUUAAAGUAGGGAAUUUUUAAAAAUUAUUAAACCACAUGCUUUCUAA
rnacentral:lncRNA from 1 species